ACUUUUUUCUUUUUCCUUUUUUUUUUUUUUUUUUGAGACUGAGUCUUGCUCUGUCUCCAGGAUGGAGUGCAGUGGCUGGAUCUUGGGUCACUGCCAUCUCAGCCUCCCAUGUUCAAGCAAUUCUCCUGCCUCAGCCUCCCAAGUAGCUAGUGUGGGAUAUGAUGAGGUUUCUCUUCAAAUAACCUGAUCAAUCUUUCAUUCUUUAAUUCACAGUACCCCCCUCCUUUUUUUCCCCUUUUUCUCAAUUUUUCCUUUUUGCUUUUGUUACAUGCCCAGGCACACUACAGUACCAGGCAUUAUCAGUACCAGCUCACUUUCAUGUCCUUAUUUGGAAAGAGGACUAACUUUCUAGCUCAUUACAGACACCACUUCCCCUUUCCUUUCUGCUUUCUUUUAUGUGCCCACCUUAUCUAAAAAAAUCAAAUAUUUCAUUAACUUGGGUUAGUUUAGAUUGUAUGAAUGAACCCCAGCCAAUGGGGAAAGGGUACAGGGGCAGGACUUGCAUCAGGAAUAAAGGCUCUCCUGCCCCUUUGUUCAGGUGUGCUCUCAAGGUGACUGGUCAAGGAGGCACCCCUUUGCACAGAAGUAAAAUUGUUUUGCUAAGAAUCCUUCUUUCGAGUCUUCCAUUUCCUUAGAAUUUUGACUGUUGUUCCUAACAGUUCUGGCACCCAACUUUGGGGCUCUAAUAUUCUCCCUUGGUAAGGAGGCCUUCGGUUACCCUAUCAAGGGGGCACGCAUCCUACUCUCUAGUUACGGUGGCCCUAGGGUGAAGGAGAUCAGGACCACCUGUUGUAGUGAAUAAAUCUGGAUACUCAGCAAAGCGGGGAGGCGAGGCUUGCAAGACGCAGCAAUAAGAGGACCAGGCGAUUCUUGCCCAUGGAGUAAGGUAGGAGACUUCAAGAAGGCGACAAAGUAUUUCCUGGGUGGUCAGGAUAAGAUGGAGGCAGAGAAUGUGUGAAUGGGAAUAAGUAUCCUGGUUGUGUGGAGUAAAUGAGUCUUCUCUGACGUCUCGUGCUGCCAUCUGUGGACUAGAGGCGGGAAAACACAAAGCAAAGAGGAAGAGGUAGGGUAGAAACCUUUGACAGUUGGGAUUGGAGCCUUUCCCCAAAGCCUCAGUAAGCCUCCAGGAAGGGUGAAGGUAGAAAUCUCUAACAGGAGGGAUUGCCCCACCAAUAACCCCUAAGAUGGGGAAAGUUUCAAGUAAGACAGGAAAACAGAAGAGUCUAGAGAGUGACGAAAUUCCUUCUGUUAGCCUCUUGGGGCUUAUGCUAAAGUAUUGGAAAGACAAUGAGAGAACCAAGUAUAAAGAAAAACAGCAGGUGAUAAAAUAUGUUGUUUUACUGGGUUUGAGAACCCAUCCUUAAACCCUCAAUUUUCUGGCCAAAAUUUAGAUCUAAUGAGAAACAGAUUUGUCACCUCUUACUCAAACAUGUUAACGAUAAGAGCCCUGUCUCCCACGAAGAAAUCGAUUACACCCUCUGCUGGCAGCAGGGACCAGUUCUGCUUUACCCUUUAGACUCUGCAGGGAGAAAGUCAGAAGCCAACCCUUCUAAAAGGGAAACAGUUCCCCUACCUAGACAAUCCACACCUACUAACACGUGGGAUCCUUUAAAUUAUCUUCCUUCAUUCAGCGCCCCCGAUCCCGCCCCCCUCUGGUUCCCGUUUCAGGUCCUUCAUCUGUUUGCCUCACUCUCCUAGCUGCCCUGCAUUCUGCCCUUCUGGUUCCUAUCUCAGGUUCCUC
ensembl:lncRNA